UACGUAGGGUGCGAGCGUUAAUCGGAAUUACUGGGCGUAAAGCGUGCGCAGGCGGUUUUGUAAGUCAGAUGUGAAAUCCCCGGGCUCAACCUGGGAACUGCGUUUGAAACUUACAAAGGCUAGAGUGUAGCAGAGGGGGGUAGAAUUCCACGGUGUAGCAGUGAAAUGCGUAGAGAUGAUGGAGGAACACCGGUGGCGAAGGCAAUCCCUGGACCUGGUACUGAACACG
rnacentral:rRNA from 1 species